GUCUACGGCCAUACCACCCUGAACGCGCCCGAUCUCGUCUGAUCUCGGAAGCUAAGCAGGGUCGGGCCUGGUUAGUACUUGGAUGGAAAUGCUCAUUUUAAAAGGGUAUUUAAAAUC
rnacentral:rRNA from 1 species